UCCGCAUCUCCAUCAGGAAGU
rnacentral:piRNA from 1 species